UGAGGCUUUUAAGCCCUGAACGACGUCUCACAGGCUGCAGUGCCUCCAAGGCUGCAGCCCGCCUCUACCAGCUAAACCAAUCAAAUAACAGGAAACUGGAAUCCCGCCCCAUGAGAACACAGCCAAUCAGAUUAAAUCAAGGAAUUUCGAGCGCGCAGUUUCACUUUAUUUUCUUUUUUUCAGUGAGCUAGCACAGUAUAACUGCUACAUUUUGGAUUUUUGGAAAGGCUGCUGGUCUGUGUUUCUACAGUCAACCACUUAUGGCACCCAAAAGAAAGAAGACAAAUGAUACCAAGUGACAGUGGACGAGUUGAGACGAAGAGUUGGGGCCCCGGAAAAUAUGUCUGCAAAUACCCUCGUCUCCUACCUUCGUGUUGAUAAGAACAAGAAACAGGAGUUGAAACAAAGGCUUCAAAAUGCGGGUGUCAGCCCUGGACCUUUAACAAGUGUGGUGUCAAUGUGCUCAAAAUUAACUGAGGCUGAAGCUUGUGAGCUGGCAGACAGCUUGGGGAAGAUGGCAGCAGCUUACAUUCCAGAUGACAUUCAACUCAUGGAGUUAGCCAACAAGGAUGUUGCACUGGG